AUUGAACGCUGGCGGCAGGCCUAACACAUGCAAGUCGAGCGGAGCGGCGGACGGGUGAGUAAUGCCUAGGAAUCUGCCUGGUAGUGGGGGAUAACGUCCGGAAACGGGCGCUAAUACCGCAUACUAUCAGAUGAGCCUAGGUCGGAUUAGCUAGUUGGUGGGGUAAAGGCCUACCAAGGCGACGAUCAGUAGCGGGGCUGCGAGGACGAUCCGCCACAUAGGGAUGGAGACACGGCCCAGACGCCUACGGGAGGGAGCAGUGGGGAAUUGUGGAAAAUGGGGGAAACCCUGAGCAAGCCAUGCCGCGUGUAUGAAGAAGGCCGUCGGGGUGUAAAGUACUUUUGUUAGGGAAGCGGUACCUAAAGAAUAAGCACCGGCUAACUACGUGCCAGAAGCCGCGGUAAUAC
rnacentral:rRNA from 1 species